AAAUUUUAGUUUAUAAAAAAAUAUAAUUUUUGUAAAAUUAAGAAAAAAAAUUUC
rnacentral:tRNA from 1 species